GUGGUUUGUCGCGUUGUUCGUGAAAUCUCACGGCUUAACUGUGAGCGUGCGGGCGAUACGGGCAGACUUGAGUACUGCAGGGGAGACUGGAAUUCCUGGUGUAGCGGUGGAAUGCGCAGAUAUCAGGAGGAACACCGGUGGCGAAGGCGGGUCUCUGGGCAGUAACUGACGCUGAGGAGCGAAAGCGUGGGGAGCGAACAGGAUUAGAUACCCUGGUAGUCCACGCCGUAAACGGUGGGUACUAGGUGUGGGUUUCCUUCCUUGGGAUCCGUGCCGUAGCUAACGCAUUAAGUACCCCGCCUGGGGAGUACGGCCGCAAGGCUAAAACUCAAAGAAAUUGACGGGGGCCCGCACAAGCGGCGGAGCAUGUGGAUUAAUUCGAUGCAACGCGAAGAACCUUACCUGGGUUUGACAUGCACAGGACGCCGGCAGAGAUGUCGGUUCCCUUGUGGCCUGUGUGCAGGUGGUGCAUGGCUGUCGUCAGCUCGUGUCGUGAGAUGUUGGGUUAAGUCCCGCAACGAGCGCAACCCUUGUCUCAUGUUGCCAGCGGGUAAUGCCGGGGACUCGUGAGAGACUGCCGGGGUCAACUCGGAGGAAGGUGGGGAUGACGUCAAGUCAUCAUGCCCCUUAUGUCCAGGGCUUCACACAUGCUACAAUGGCCGGUACAAAGGGCUGCGAUGCCGCGAGGUUAAGCGAAUCCUUUUAAAGCCGGUCUCAGUUCGGAUCGGGGUCUGCAACUCGACCCCGUGAAGUCGGAGUCGCUAGUAAUCGCAG
rnacentral:rRNA from 1 species